UUUUUAUGUGCAAACAUUGUUCUCACCUAAGA
rnacentral:piRNA from 1 species